AUGACCUACCCUUUACUAUAAUGUUGCUUUUCAACUGCCAGACCAAUCUUUUUAUGAAGCCCAUUGGGAUUUUAACAGGGGAUGUAGUGAGGCACUCAGAGGCAAAGCUUUAUUCAGGCACAUUUAUGAAAAAUAGAAACUAGAAGGGUUUUUUGCUGCUCUGUUUGUACUGAGAGGGAUAGGGAAAGUUGCUGCUGAGUUGUACCAAGAGUAUAUCUUCAGAAUGAGGAUGCACAGAUUUAGAAAAAAAACUUUUCAGACCAUUCUAAAGAAACCAAAUCUGGGGCUUAGCGACAUACCUUGAUUUACCUUUUUACAUCCAACGGUUACCACCCUUGUCUGUGUUACUAUGGUUACCAGUCUUAGCUGUGUUACUACGGCUACUCCCCUUACCUGUGGUCUCCAACCAACUCCGUCUUGUUGUUGUUGCUGUGGCAGUACGAACAGGCAAUGUUUGAUGCCAUAUCCUGUAUAGCCAUAUCCUUUACAGAUUUGUGUGUAGCGAGAUCAAGUGUCAGUUGAAAUGUUUAAUUCUCCUUCAGUGCUUUGUCUAUCUGUGGACAGAGAAGAGAGAGUGUCAUCUGUAGGGGGAGAUGUAACAGAUUUUGAAACAGCUGUUUGAAAUGUACUAAAGAUAUAGCGAUGCUUCCAUAGAUUCGUUCUUCUUUUCAUAUCUGUUUUAUCCACUUCUCUCCUCUGUCACUUAGUUAGUUCCCUAUUAGAAUAUUGUUCACUGUGACCCAGUGGUACAUCAAUGGCCUUUUCCAGACACUUUGAGUUGCCAGCUCUGAAGUAAAUAGAUGUCCUUCUCUGGAUCUGAUGUCCUUCUUGCAGUGCAAUCAUUCUCAGAAGAAAGUUCGAAUUUUCGAGCAGUGAGAAUGUAUGUGGCGUAGCCAUCUAUAAAGCAGCAUAGAUGCAUACUGUAGAAGUAACAUAGAGGACAGAUAGAGGAUACAUAGAGCAGCUGCAGCAAGACAUGCUCAGUCACUCCUGGCAUGAUGUGCUGUAGGACUAAAAGACGGUCGGCCAUGGAAGGUUUGUAGAGAAUAAAAACAGAUCUGAUUUGAUAGGCUUAAUUAGGGAGGUGGAGGAUGGUAUAACAAUGGACCAAUGGAGAGACUCGACAGAUCCUCUCCCGGACCCUCCACAGUUUCUAGACUGACUGCCAUGAAUGAAAAUGAUCAGAGAAAGUAAAGAUGGCGAGCCAGAGCAGCAGGGAGAAUAGUGAUUUUGUCUUCUUAGGAGUGAGUGCUGAAAGUCCCAUGUUUGUCAGUGUAUCAUUGCGCUUUGUGGGACCGCUUCAACACUGUUUGUAGUGUAUGGAUGUUGGACCCAGGCUUGCAUCAUCAUGUCAUAUGCUAGCAGGCUAUUAUUUUAUUGGUCACCUGCUGUAUGUUUGAUAAAUGAAAAAUCUGCCUGGGGAUAAGCUCAAAGUGGUGUGAACCGUCCAACCGUAGUUUCUCACAGAUUGUCUCCGUCUCUUCAGAAUCUGUUAGACUUCUAUCAGAUAGGCCUUGUAUGAUCAACUCGUAUCAACUCAUGGUAAGUUGAUUCAUGAUUCACAGUAGAAUCGUGCCUUUAGGAACUCGUGAGGGGAUUUUAAAGGCAGUUUGAAGCUACUACGACUCAGAUGAAACAAGAUGAGAGAGCGAGCGCUAGGCCAGGCCAGGCCAGCGUAGGCCGAACCAACAAUACGAGUCAGAUCUCUGUGAGUGACAGGCAGGUUAGACAAGAUGAGACAUAAUAUUAACACUUCCUCUUUAAGGUCUCUGCUGUUUUUUUUUUACACAGGCUUGAUGGUCGGUCCUCUAUACAAACAAACAAACAAACGGAUGCCUGGUCGGACAACAACCUGGUAUCUACGGACACACCAUUAAAGCCAUUGUGGUGUGUUGAUUGAACACUGCCUGUACCCGUACCUGAUAUCCCCAUGUCCUGUCUAUUAUAAUACUAUCUAGAGGACUGUUUACAAUAUGAAGACAUGUCUCCAGAUAACGUCCGUCUGUUUGGCUGCUGCACACUUAAAACCAAAUACAUUCCCGAUUGAUCGUUCACUGACGAUACAACCAUAAGAGCAAACAAUGCCAUCCAAUUUUAACCCGUGUUCAUUUUGGAUGUGAUGUUUUAGAUGAGUGAUGCAUUGAUCAUUGAACUUACUUGGAGAGAAAAAAAAUGAACAAAAAUAAGAAAUAUAUGUACAGUGCAGACUAUGGUGGCACAAUCACUGAAAAGGAAGGAACUUUUUGAGAGAAACUAUAAAUAAUGUACUAUAUUCUUUUAUUUUAUCGGCAUGCUUUGUUGUGUUUUUUGUAAAUACGGAAUUUUAAAAAGUUACCACUAAUAAUGUAAAAUGAAACAAUAACAGUAUAGAAUGGCUUCCAGCUAUGCCCUUUGUCACAUUUGUUACCUUUUGGAUUUUUUGAGACACUUUUCACUUUGUUGACGGAAAUUGAAUGAAAUAUAGAUAUUAUAUAAUACAAAAAUAUAUAUACAUGUAUACAUAUAUAUGUCUAUAUGUAUAUACAUAUUACAAAAGAACACUGUUUGUUUGUCACAUUUGAUUUAUGUGCAACAUGUUCAGUGGAUGUGUAAAACUGGUUGGUUUCCAGCACCCUACUGUAUGUGUUGGGAAAUAGCUCAUACAAUGUCACUGGAGCUGCUGCCAUGGAUUGUAGCCUGAUAUGAUUAGAGGUUUAUGCUACCAGCACAUUUCUCACAUUCUACUGCAAACUUUUCAUACUUUUUAACCUUCACUUAACACACACAAACACAUACACAGAAUAGACACACACACACACACACACACACACACACACACACACACACACACACACACACACACACACACACACACACACACACACACACACAUUCAAAUUGACACACAACUAUUCACUCACCAACCUAACUAAUCAGUAAUUUGUCCCAACAAGAUGAAGUAGGUUGGAUGUGACUGCCUCUUCCAGUGAAGAUGGAGUAUGUCUAUCCCAACCAAGGCAUAGUAGAUCUAUCUAUAGAUACGUCCAACGCUCUAGUAUCUAUCUAUCUAUACAUAAGGUCUAGCAGGCCAAUCUAUCUAUCAUUACAUGUCAAUGUAAAUGUAUCUAUCCACACCUACAGCCACAAAGCCUAUUAGGAGUAACUACCCACACAUAAAUACAGUCACACAACAUUAGUACUGUUACAGUUCAACACUUCAGUGUCUGAUCAUUUGUGCUUCAAUCGUCUCUCACUUUUACUUUGAAUGGUUUGUUUCUAAUCUAGUGUUUAACUCCACUCAUUGGCAUGUGCCUUUUUCUGCUUUUUUCUGUGAUUUUUGGGAAGAUGAUGAUACCACACAUGUUCAAAACUGUGUAAGGAGGGAACAGGUGAGGGUGGGGUGGUCGUUGAGUUAAACAUAUGGAGCACAACGUAUAUAUCGGGGACUCGGGGCUACAGCGCGACAUCGUCUGUCCGUACCACACGACGCGAGUCAGAAAUGAUACUGCCGAGGAUCAGAUCAUCCUAACCACUAUUACAAAAGAGAAAACAAAACUAACACCCCACUUCUUCUCUUCUCGAUAGACUUCAACAAUGUGAUGUUGCCUAACAAAACAGCUCAAAGUCAAAAUGUUAUGUUUCUUGUGCUUAUGUGUGUCACCCACUUCUAUCGCUUGUGAAAAAGCAGCUUGCCUUCUAUAUUUCUGUUCUUUCCAUCUGAAAUUUAUUUUUGUAUCAAUAUUGAAUUAAUUAAAUUACGGGACUCUGUUUUCUUUUUUUCUUUCUUUUUUUUGGCAUGGAUUUAUUACAGGCUUUUUUCUUUUUUUGCUGAAAAAUAAUUAAAAAGUGCUUUUCAAACUGUUGUUUAUCAUUUGAACACCGUGAUAUAAAACAGGAUAUAUACAGUAUGAUGGUAGUGAUGCACAACCACUUGGACUCUUAGUAAGAACUUAUGAAAGAUUGUCUUCAUUUGAGCACGAACCUUUUUAUUACCAAUAAAGCAGCCUUCCAG
rnacentral:lncRNA from 1 species